UUCAGCUGACUGAAGAGCUGCUGGUUUACAAGGCUAUGUUCCAGUGAGCUUCACCUGCUGCAGCAUUCCCAACCGGAACAUACACACAGAGGGAUUGAGUAUCCCUCCGGCUAGUGCUUGUGUACUGUGUAUCAUUUAACUCAGCUGUUUGUCUCACUGAUCCAGAACACAAAUUGACUGCUCUAACCUGCCCUGGCACUUGCUAAUGAAGGCUGUGUAAUAAUAAUAAUAAUAAGAACAACAAGAAGAAGAACAAGAAGAACAAGAAGAAGAAGAAGAAGAAGAAGAGGUUAAAAUUAUACAAUGCAGGAGCACAGCACUAUACCCAAGAACAGAUGCCUAGAGAUGUGCUUCUGAAGAGAAGACAAUGAAGGAGGUAGAACACACAUGCUUUGCUUGCAAAUGUCACUGGUUCAAUCCCUGGCAUCUCCUAGUACUGAUGGGAAAGACUCCUGUUUGAAAGAGCUGCUGACAGUCUGUGUGGAGCAUCUUCCCCAACCUUGGGUUCUCUGAACUUGAUGGACCACCUGCCCCAUUGUCCCUGACUAAUGGCCAAGCUGGCUAGGACUACUGAGAACUGGAGUCCAGCACUGACUUGAAACCCAGGCUUGGGUGGAGGCUGGUGUAGACAAUACUGAACUAGAUGGACCAAUGAUCUGACUGAUAAGCUGAUAAGGCUUAUAUAAGCACAUAAGGCUUAUAUAAGGCUUAUAUAAAGUUAUAUUUAUUUAUUUGUAUAACUUAUAUACCACUUAAUAUAGCAAAAUACUUAAGUGGAUAAAUACAAUUACAAUAAUAAAACCACAAGCAAAAAGUAAAUGCAUAAUAUCAAAAUCCAGUAAAACAAACACCAAUAAAAUGUUUAGCAAAACAUUAAAAAUAGAAAUACUGAGCAGAGUGAUCAGAAAAUUUAAGUGUUAGGGAAAUCCUGAUGAAACAAGUAUGUUUUCAGUAGGCAUUUAAAGCCAACCACAGUGGCCGCCAACAGUAUCUGCGAAGGAGACAGUCCAUAAUCCUGAUGGUCACUUGUGAAAGUCACUCCUAAGAAUGGUGCAGGUACAAGGACUACUUGGUUAAAAUAAAUUGGGAUGGAAAUUUUUUGAAGCCAAAAAUUCUCCCAAGAAUUUUGGUGUGCAGUUCUUGUGAACUUACCAUCUGCAUGGCUGUGGCUAUCAUGUUUCCAGUGUCAGAGAAAUCACCAAGGAAACAAUCCUUUGAUGUGAAGUAUGUGCUUUGUGAAUGA